rnacentral:lncRNA from 1 species
GCCUAUAGUCCCAGCCCUUUUGAGGUUGAGGCAGAGAAUAAAAUGCUUGAUGCCAGCGGUGCAUGUGGUCACCUACAAAACAAAACAAGACACCCCCCACCUCAAUUUUUAAAGCAUGCUAAUCACCAAAUUAGAAUAAGGCUAUACGUGGGUAUGGGGUGGGAAUGCAGUUGGUCAAGGGAGAAGGAUAUAGCUGCCUUAGUAAUACUUUAUUUUGUAAGCUAGAUAGUGAUUUAUUAUAGAAGCCAACAUUGCUGUUCUCCUAGAGACAGCCUUCUCUUUGGGCCUAAGAAAGGGCACAUAUCUUAAGUAAAUGGUCCCUAUGCCCAGUCUGCUGCCUAUUUGGUUUGUUAUGUUGUACUUUUCUGUCUCUCUUCUUUGUUUAUCUUAUUUUGUGGAUAUCCUUAUAUUUUUUUGUGCACCUAAAAGCUAACUUGUGUGACAAUUGGAUACCAUGUUACUAUUCCAAACUGUGUUAAUUAAGCUAUGAGCUUUAUAAUUUCAGAUUUUAGGACAAUUGGGGGACCUUGGGUAAUUGCCAGUAAGAGAGAAACAAAAAUUCACUGAAGUGAGGUAAAAUGGGUUUUAUGUCUAUUUGAGUAUGCUUGUAGUAAAUCACUAGAAUGUUCCAUUGCAGGUUUAGUAAGUGGUCAGAUUCUUGAGUUUUGAGAUCCAGUUUAUAGGUAUUUCAUACAUACCUUCCAUAAUAGUAUUGAUGUUUGCCAAAUUAGUUAAGCCUUACCUAUAACCAUAUUGUAUUUCUCCAUUCUCUUGUUCCCACAUAGGCAGUUCUCCAGUUCUUACAUGGCCCAUAGUUCUUCAAACUGAUCUGACUGUGCUUCUUCCUAGUGCUGCUAAUUCAGCAGCUUGUCUGCUGUUAGCUGUGUGUGUCGGUGUCCUCAGUAAACCUCCUACUGCCAGAAACCCAAGAACCCUCAAAAUAAUGUGCAGUUGAUUACUUCACUCCUGUGUUUAAACUUUAGUUACAUUUACACAUUAGUUUGUCUUCACUGUCGGAUAGAAGUUAUACCUCUGGCCAAGAUGGAAUGGUUCUCUUGCAUGGAGAAAGGUGAAGGGGAAGCAGCUUUCCUCAGGGGUGUUACCGGUUGUUUUGAUGCAUAGCGUAGAGCCAUUGUGAAGCCCUUAACAAGGCACGCAGGGUCGGACAGAAAGGACUUUGUUUACUUAUUUAUUUGGCUCAUGAGGUAUUUUUGUUUGUUUUGUAUUUUUUUUAAAACAGUUGGAGAACCUGUUAUAGAUUCCUUAUAUCUUAAAGUAGCCAUUGUAUCCUAUACUAUUUAAAUUACUUUAAUGUUCCAUGCUAUUUUGGUCAUCCCUUGUAGGACUGUAAGAUUUUUCUCUCUAAAGUUCUUUUGCUUUCUUUCAUAAUUUAGUAUUUGCUACUUUCUUUCUAGUCUUUUGAAAUGGCCUCCUUUCUCUUCCUUUAGAAGCCAUUUCAGUGUGUCAGGUCAUCAUUUAGAAAUAAGUAAAUCUUAAUGGCUCAGCAUGACAAAGCUUUCUUUUCAGUCACAUGGUGUGAUGGAUCUCUGUUCUGUGAUAUCAUCAAUAUUCUGGGCUGCCAGCUAAUGGCGUGAUCACUCUUUAAAAGUUUUCAUUGGACACAAUAAAGGUCAGGUAAUUUCACAUCUGUUUUAGUUGGUUACUUGUUCACACCUAACUACAAGAGCAAGGGAGUCCAACAAUUUUAUGUGGUCACGAGAACUUGGGAAGUAUUUUAUAUAUAACAAGAAUUGCCACAUGUAAUGUCUCUACACCUGACUAACUCAACCUACUUCUUACCUCUGUGAUAUUUUGUAAAUAGUCUCACUGAAUUAAAAUUAUAAUAAAUUGUAAUAGUAUAGAAUUUGAUGUGUUUUGAAAUUGGCUCCGAACUUCUGAAGUUUCAAGACAGCUAGCUGGGCAAACUUACCUCAGUCAUUUUAUUGACCUGACAGCUGUGCAGUCCUUUGCUUUAUAAGUCUAGGUUAAUGGUCAUUUACCAGGAAUUAUUUGGUAUCUAAAAACAAAACUUGCUUUGUAUCGUGUGGUGGUACAAGCCUUUAAACCCAACACUCACAUUAAUCUCAGAGCUUGCAAAACUGCAGCAGAUGAUAUCUCUGUGAAUUCUAGGUCAGUCUGGUCUACUUACUGAGUUCUAGGCUAGCAGGGGCUGCAUUGUGGGAUCCUGUCUCAGAAAAAGAAAAAAACAAAAACAACAACAGUAAAAAACCAAAUGGUACUUGAACCUCACCCCAGAGCAGUGAAAUCAGAGCCUCAGGCUGGACCCAGGCAUCAGAGUUAUUUGACUUGACGCAGUUUUGAGACACACACAGGGCUGAAAAGCACUACUGUGUUCCUUGCAUGUUUCCUGGAGAGGCUCUUUGAACAUCAGGCCUUGUUCUGCUUUUAUUAUUCCUAAAGCUUAUCACGUUUCCUGUUAUUUUGGCCCCAAACCUGUGUUAUAUAUUCAUUUUUAUAUUUGUGUAUAAAUAUAAUAUGUGGUUUUGGAGACACUACAUUUUAAGAAUUAGCACUACAUCUAAUUAGUUCAUCAUAUACAUAUCUAGUGCUUGUCAUACUGUCUGUCACAGGUUUUCUAAGUCUCUCUCUCUAUUCUGAUACCCAUACCCACAUACAUGUGUUUCUUACAUGUUCUUUUGUCUUUUUCUUUCAUUAGAUGAGAUAAAUAACAUUUGGAAAACAAAGAAACAUGAGGAUGACAUUUUAAAAAUACAAAGCAACAACUGCACACAGACAGACAAGGUUAUUAGUAUUCCUUUAAACACCCCAGAGCCUGGCUCUUGUGGCUGCCGUUUCUAACAGCUGAUCACAGUAGCAUUCACUUAACCUUCAACUUUUUUGAUCUGUGAUGCAACUAAUCCAGUCUUGCACUCUGCUUUCCCUUCCAGUGGUGCCCAUUGCUUGGAUGUCUGAUAGUCAGCUUCUUACAGUAUGUGUUGAAAGAAUACUAUAUUCUGAGAACAGCAUGUUAAAGAGAAACCCAGAUUUGAGACUUAUGUCAUGUGUAAGGGACAGUGUGACAUGGUUCCAGCACCUAGAACAGAGCCAGCAGGGUGUGGGCCUCCAUGAGUAUUGAUUGUUGCUGUGGGCAUAUUGUUUGUUUGUAUAAUAAUGUUUUUAUGUUCCUCUUUCAUGGAAUGUACUCCUUGUUGAAUGACUCUGUGAUAAUCUGAGACAGCAUGAGUCUGGGAGGGGAAGGCUAAUGUCUCAGCAAAAUGCUAAGCUCUGGUCUGGGACAUUCAGGACAGCCUUUAUGGCUUUGGAAAAGAACUCUAAAAACACGAAUUUGAAAAUAUAUAAUUUCUCAACUAUGCAAAAUAUAAGGAUGUAAUGUGAAUUGUCUAAGAAGCUUCACAACUCAAGGACCAGAGGCAGCUGCACCGUGAGCCAGCUUGUCAGAAAGAUAAGGAGAUGAGAUAUGGGGAGUGAUGAUUGAAAGGCAAGCUCCCACCCAGCUUUUUUUGUUUUAUGUUUACUAAGGCAGGUGGAUUCCUGAGUUCAGGGUCAUCCUGGGACUGGGCUGGGUCCAGGUGUGGUUGGUAUGGUUAAUCUCAGGAUUUGUCCCACCCAGCUAAGUUUACACAUGCAGUCAGAUCUCUGAAUUCUUUUGCAGUGUUUUAAAAAGUGUGCUUGCUGUCCUUUUCUUAGAGUCUAGUGCUGGUCCAUUGGAUGGUCAAGAGGGAACCUGGAAUAAAUCACUGGGUUGAUAUGUAAAUAGAAACCUGGGCAAAAGGUGGUAGCAGUUCUUUAGAAUGUUUUCUAGGAGAACUGAGCUGUCUGGAGAUCUCUGGAGAGUGAGCACAGCUCUUAAAGAAUUUUUUUCUAACUGGAUUUCUGAGCCUAGUUGGAAACCCCAAGAUUUACAGAGAGUGAACACAGCUCUUAUAGAAUUAUUAUUUUCUUUAUUAUUUUUAGCUUCCUGAUUUUGAUCAGAAAACCCGUGAAUCAUUUUUAAAAUUUUUCUAACAGGAUUUCUCACUUGGUUGGAAGAUCAAGAAUUUUUUAUAGCAGCUUUUCUGACUUUGGUCAGAAAACCCACGAGCCAUCCAGAGAACUUUUAGAAUUUUUACUAGCAGAGAGAGAGCUGUGUCCAGCAGAAAGCUAGCUGUUUCAACCAGGGAGUUUUUUAGAAUAGC